CUCAUUUCUCUUUUGUUACUGGAUUAUUUCACUUGGCAUUUUUCAUAGGCUCAUCCAUGUUGUAGUAUGCAUUGAAAUUUCUUUCCAUUUUAAGGUGGAAGAAUAUUUCACUAUCCAGAUAUAACACAUUUUAUCUCUUUAUCCAUCAGUGGAAACAUAUGUCAUUUCACUGCUGUAAACAUGGAGGAACAAGCAUCUGUUUGAGCUCAUGUUUUUAAUUCUCUAGAGGUAUUUUGGAGAAACAAAUUGCUGGGUCAUAUGACAGAUAGUUCUGCUCAAUUGUUUAAGGAACUACCAUACCAUUUUCACAUGUAACCCAGCUAUCCCACUCCUGAGUAUUUAUGAUAAGAAAUAAAAUGAGCAUACUAUAUUGAUACAGCCACAUCAAUGUUUACAGCAACACAACUCAUAAUAGCCAAAUUAUGGAAACAGCCCAGGUGCCCGUUGACAGAGCAAUGGAUACAGAAAAUGUAGCAUAUACACAAUGGAGUUUUACUCAGCCAUUAAGAAGAAAGAAAUUAUGGCAUUUGCUGGUAAAUGGAUGGAACUUAAAAGCAUAGUGCUAAAUGAAAUAAUUCCAACUCAGUUAAUAAAGAGUUAAAUAUUUUCUCUCAUAUGCAGAAGCUAGACCAAAAUAAGGAAAAAAAGAGGGAAGGGGGAUCCCAUGAAAAUAGAAAAGAGAUCAGUGGAGUGUAGGGUGGGAUUACAGGAAGGCACUGGAGUAGAGAAGGAGGGAUGGGAAAAGGGAGGAACUGUGGAAUGUAGUUGACCAAACUAUGCUAUGUGCAUAUGUGAAUACACCACAGUGAGUUUCACCCUUAUGUGUAAUCUAUAAACCAUUAAUUUAAAAAGAAUUGUAAAUAAAUUAAAUGCCAGUAAAGGGUAAUGAUUGGGAAUGGUAGGAGGGGAGGGAAAGGAGAAGUAUGGAGGAUGGAAUUGGAGCAAAUUAUAUUCCAGUCUCAUAUGAUUAUAGUAAUAUGGAUCCCAAUAUUAUGUAUAACGAUAACUAACUAAUAAAAAUGUUGAGGUUUUGAUAACAAUUACAUUUAAUUUGUAGAUCACUUUUGGCAAUAUUGAAAUCUUACCCGUAUUAAAUCCUUCAAUUUAUGAACAUGGGACGUUUUUCCAUUUAUUUAUGUGUUCUUUAAUUUCAAUAAUCUUUUAUAGUUUCUAGUGUAUAAGUCUCUCAUAUCCUCAAUUUAAUUUAUGCUCAAGUAUUUUAUUCUCUUUGUUGUAACUGUAAAUAGAAUUGUUUUCUUAAUUUCUUGUUUCCUUUUAGAUUGCUCAUUGUUAGUGUAUGAAAUGCAACUUUUUUAGGAUUUAUAAAUUUAUAUAUUUUUUUUUCUAGAGAACACAAAAACAAAAAAAAAAUGAAAAACAUGGUGUGAGAAAAAAAAUGGAAGAUGAAGUCCUGCCAAGACUUAGGAAAAUUAACAAAGGAAUUGUCUGCCUACAAGCCAGCAGAAAGUAAGAGUGAUGGGUGCUCUUCUUGUCCCUCCAGAGAGGCCUGGUUAUAACAGCAGCCCUAGGAACCCAGCCCCUGUCAGCCAGACACCGGAGCUCUGGGACAGUGACCCAAGGUGUGGAGGUCCUUGGGACACACCAAGUGCACAGACAGACAGCCUUCCUAGAAAGCGCCCUUCACUGUGGGGCUUCCAGAAUUUAAAAGGGUCAUUUUCCUUUUAAGAAAGAUGCUGAGUCAAACAAAUAAACAAACAAAUCUACAAGAGGGGAAAAUGUUCCUGCUGCAGUGAAAAUCUUUGGUUCCUGCGGAAGGAAGGUGAGUCCUGUGCGAGGGUCAGUGUGGGGUUAGCUUGCAAGGCUCUCCUUGGGCUCCUGGGUUACACCUUUGCUAAGGUCUGUCAUUUUGGGAUAUUUUACUUUCUUCUGGUCCAGCACGUUCUGAGCCUAAAAUAACAAGUUUCUGUAAUUUUGUCAUCUUGGGUGUUGACUCGCGAUUUUCAUAAUGUAGAAUGGCUUGGUUAACCUCACUCUAAACCUUUUGCUUUUGCAUCCUGUGAAGGAGGCCUCCGAAGCCUGACUCCUCAGGGCUAUAGAGGGCCAGCAGGGCCAGCAUGUGCUCCAUCUCUUUGAGGCACUCUGCCCUCUUAGCCCUGCUCUCCUCCUCUAGCACCGCCUAGAUCUGUUGCUGGGGGAUCAGCUCAAUUACAUACAUUCUGUUGCUGCAGAUGAAAGUAAAGUUACCGGUUUGUGUCCAAGAGCUCCGGACAGGGACUGUUAAUACGGUGGCCUCCAAAAUCUAAGCCUUCAGAAUCAUCUCCUGAAUCUUGCUUCUCUCAUCAAGAGUAUCCGGAUCCAUGCUGGGUUCAAUUCCAGGUUCCAUGGGACAGUUCUCUGCUGCUUCUUUAAAGCCUUCUUUGACCAAAUAGUUAAUGAUAAGGCGGUUCAUGCCUGCCCACUGGGCGUGUCGGUUGCUGAGCGUUUCCAUCCACUCAUCUUUCCUGAUUUCAUCAGGCUUUUCUGCAUAACUCAUUCUGGUUUAUUUCUUUAAGAUCCAGCCUCCUGUGCAACCAGUUUGGGUAGUGGCCACAGCUCCUCAGCAACCACUCACAAGGCCAGGGAGGAGCAGUUGCGGCAAUCGCCCAGCAGAGGGAGGUGGAGGCCAAGGAAGAGGCGGAGGCCAGGCAGGGAACCAAUGUAACUGAUUUUUGCUUGCUGGUUUUAUUUCCUGAAACUUUGCUCAAGUCAUUCUGACAUCCCCCCGCAACCCCCCCCCCCCCCCCACACACACACACACAUAAACACACAUUUUUGUGUUGGGGAUGGAAUAGCUCGGACAUGCAUGCGCGCGUGGUGCGCGCUUUAGGGUUUUCUACAUAUAAAAAAGUUAUACAUAAAUAGUGGUAAUUUUAUUUCUUUCCAGCCUUUUAUUUAUUUAUUUGUUUGUUUGUUUGAUUUUGCCUGAUUGGUGUGUCCAGUAAUAUGUUAAGCAGCAGUGAAAGUGGGUAUCGUUGUAGUUCUCUUCCUAUUACGGGAGAAUUUUUCAGUAUUUCCACCCAGUAUGAUGAAAGCUAUGGGCCUUUCACAUAUGCCUUUAUUAUGUUGAGGUAAUUUUCAUCUGUGUGUAGUCUGUAGAGUGUUUUUUUUUUUUUUUUGAGACAGCUUUGAACUUUUUCAAAUGCUUUUUCUGUAUCAAUUUUUAAAAUAUUAGUUGUAUUUAAUGGUUCAUUUUGACACAUCCAUACAUGUACACAGUAUAAUUUACUCCAUUUCAAUUCCUAGCAUUUCCCUUUCCUUUCCCUCCUCCCUCCACCAACCCCUUCCUCUAUUCUAUGGAUAUUUCUUCCAUUAAUUUAUUGUUUUUAAAUUGUUGCAGUAUAGACAUACAAAAAAUGGAAUUUAUUUUUAAAUGUUCACACAUGCCUAUAGCAUAGUUUGAUCAAUUUUAUUCUACACUUCCUCCCCUUUCCCAUCCUUCCUUCCUCCCCCUGGAUUCCCAACCUUCAUUCUAGUGUUCUCUCUUUUUUUUUUUCAUGAGAUCUCCUCCCUCCCCCUUUUUACUUCCUUAUAUCUCUUUAGCUUCUGCAUCUAGGAUAAAAUACAUUUGACCCUUGGCUUUCUGAGUCUGCCUUAUUUCACUUAUCAUGAUGUUCUCUGUUCCAUCCAUUUACCAGCAAAUGAUUCAAUUUAAUUCUGUAUGGCUGAGUCAAAUACCAUUGCAUCAAUUUAAAUGACCAUGUGUUUAUUUUUUCUUUAUUCUGUUAAUAUGAUGUUUUUCAUUGGUUGAUUUUCAUAUGUUGAACUAUCCUUGUAUAUCAGAAGCAUAUCACCUAUGGCAUAUGGUAAUUUUAAUAUGCUUUUAAAAAUCAGGCUCCUACUGUUUCAUUGAGGAUUUUUGCAACAGUGUCCAUUGGGAUAUUGGUUUGCCAUUUUCUUCCUUUUCUUUCUUCCUCUUCUUCUUCCUCUCCUUCUCCUCCUCCUCCUCCUCCACCUCCUCCUCCUCCUCCUUCCUCCUCCUCCUUCCUCCUCCUCCUCCUUCUUUUUUGGUGUGUGUGUGUGUAUGUGUGUAUUUGGCUUUGGUGUUAUGCUAAUGGUAAUGCAGGCUUCACCAAUGAUUUAGUAAAUGUUCUUUCUUGUUAAAAUUUUUGAAAUUAUUUGUGAAGGAUUGGUGUUAAUUCUUUAAACACUUGGUUGUAAUUCACCAGUAAAGUGAUCUAGUCCAGAAGGUUUUUGUUGUUGUUGUUGAGAGAUUUUCAGUUACUGAUUCAUGUCCUUACUGUUUUAGGUCUACUCAGCUAUUUCUGCUUCUUCAUGUUUCAGUCUUGUUAGUUUUUAUAAUUCUAUGUUUUUGUCCAUAUUAUCUAGUUUAUCCAAUUUUUGGUGUAUGAUUGUUUAUAAUACUCUCUUGUGAUCCUUCUUAUUUCUCUGAAAUCAGUAAUAAUUUCUUCUUUGUAUUUCCAGGUUUAGUUAUUUAUGUCUUCUAUAUUUCUCUCAGUAAAUUUACCUAAAGAUUUGUUAAUAUUUUUUAAUUUAUCUUUUUCAAGAAUUGACUCUUGGUUAUUGAUUUCUCUCUCUUUCUUUUUUGAUAUAUUUUAUUUAUUUCCACUUUCAUCUUUAUUUUUUUUUCCUUUUGCUGCCUUUGGGCUUAUGUUUAUCUUACAAUUCCUUAAGUUGUAAAGCUAUGUUACUGAUUUGCUAUUGUCCCUCCUUUUAAAAAUUUACUGUUGAUAGCUACAAGUUUCUCUCAAAACUGUUUUCGCCUCAUCCUGUUAAGUUUUUCUAUGUUGUAUUUUCAUUGUCCCAAUACAUUUUCUAACUUUUUUGUCUAUGACUUAUUGGUUGUUAUAUCAUAUACUAUUUAAUUUCUACAUUUUUGUAGAUUUCCAGUAUUUCUUUUCUUUUUUUAUUGAGAGAGAGAGAGAGAGAGAAAUUUUUAAUAUUUAUUUUUUAGUUUUCAGUGGACACAACAUCUUUAUUUUAUUUUUAAGUGGUACUGAGGAUACAACCCAGCGCCCCUCGCAUGCCAGGCGAGCACGCUACUGCUUGAACCACAUCCCCAGUCCCGAUUUCCAGUAUUUCUAAUGUCAACUCUUAGUUGCAUUCCAUUUUGAUCAGAAAAGAUACUUUCCAUAUUUUCAGUCUUUUUAAAAAAAGUUUCAGGGAAUGUUUUGCAGCCUCACAUAUGGUUUGUCCUAAAGAAUGUUCCUUAUGCAAUUGAGAAAAAUGUAUAUUCUGUUUGUUUGUUUGGGUGUUAUUGCACAAUAGUCAUUUCUCCUUUUAGUUAAGUUAAUGUUCAUAUAUAUUGGAGCAUUAAUGUUUGAUGCAUAUAUAUUCAUAAUUGUCAUAUCUUUCGGAAAAUUCACAAUUUAAUCAUUAUAUGAUAUCCUUUGUAUCUUAUUAAUAUUUGGAUUAUGGUCUAUUUUGUCUGAUAUUAGUAUACUACCCCUACUCCAUUAUUGUUGCUACUUGUAUAGAAUAUCUUUUUAUGUCCUUUCUCUUUCAACCUAUUCUUGUCCUUAAAUCUAAAAUAUGUCUCUUGUAGACAGCAUAUUGUUGGAUCAAUUUUUUUUCCUCAUUCUGCCAAUGUCUGUCUUUAUUUGGAGAAUUUAAUUCAUUUACAAUUAAAAUAUUGAUAGGGAAGGACUUACUAUUGCCUUUAAAAAUGUUUUCUGUAUUGGUUAUAGCUUUUUUAUCACUCUUUUCUUCCAGUUCCAUUAUCUUUUAUGUUUAUUGUUUUUGCAGUGACAUGUUUGGGUUUCAUUCUCCGUGUGUGUGUGUGUGUGUGUUUUAAUAGAUAUUUUCUUUGCUGUUAUCAUGGAGAUUAAAUAUAACAUCCUAAGAUUGCAGAAAAUUAUUUUAAACUGGUACUAACUUAAUUACACAUAACACUUUCAUUUUCUAGCUUUAUUCCCAAAUUUUAAGUUAUGGGUAUCACAAAUUACAUCUUUAUAUAUUGUGUAGUUAUUAACAUAGAUUUAUAAGUGUAUGUAUGCAUUUUAUGUUUCAAAUCCUAUGGAAGAUUUUAAAAAGUGGAGUUACAAACUAAAAUAACAAAAAGGCUGAUUUAUAUAUUUGUCCACAUAAUUAUUACUUUUACUGGACAACUUUACAUUUUUAUUUCAUGUUACUGCCUAGCACCCUUUUAUAUUUCUACCUAACAGGCUGCCUUUAUAAUUUCUUAUAGGAAAGAUAAAAUGGUAAUGAACUUCCUCCACUUUUGUAUAUCUGACAAUGUUUUAAUUUCUUCCUCAUUUUUGAAAGACAGUUUUUCCAGGUACAGAAUUCUUAGUUAACAGUUUUUCUUCUGGUACAUCAAAUAUAUUAUCCCAUUGUCUCUGGCUUGCAAGAUUUCUUCUUAUUAUUGGAGAAAUCCACUGAUAAAAAUUAUUAGGAGUCCUUUGUAUGUAAUGAGUUGCUUUUCUCUUGCUACUUUUGGAUUCUCUCUUUGUCUUUUGAAGCUUUGAUAAUAAUGUGUCUUAGGGUUUAACAUGCACUUUACUGAGCCCUUGGAUUUACAGGGCCAUGCCUUUUCUUAAAUUUGUGAAGAUUUUAGACAAUAUUUCUUCCUUUCUCUGUCCCUCCUUCUUCUUGAUGCUUAUAAUGCAUCUAGUGACCUGCUUGAUGGUGUUUCAUAAGUCUUUUAUGCUCUCUGUUCAGUUUUUUUUUCAUUCCUUUUUCUUUUUGCUUCUAAGAAUAUAAUAUCAAAUGACUUGUUUUUAAGUUCAUUGAUUUUUCUCCCAGCUCAAGUUUGCUGUCAAACCCAAUGAAAAAAUCAGUUUGGGUAUUUUAUUACUCAUAACCCGAAAAAGUGCAUUGAGAUUAUAAUAUUUCUUUAGCUCUAGCAAGGCCCAGAGGGUGGAAUUUUUCAAGUUUUGCAACAACAGAAAGCAAGAGAGGGAGGGGGAAAAAGAGCCCAGAGCAGAAAAGAGAGCCAAGCUGGAGAGCAGGAUUUACCCUUUGGGAUUUUUCUGGAGAUCCUUUUGAUCCCAAUGGGUUGUGGUAGAUGGCGGUAGCAGCAGCAGUAGCAGUGGCAACAACUGCAGCAGCCUCAGCAGCCUCUUAGCUUGGCCAGGUCACACUUGGGGCAGGGCGGGCAGGCGGGGACUGUGGGGGGGGGGGGGGGGGGGGGGGGGGGGGUGGGGGGGGGGGGAAUGGAGAGCCAGGGAUGAGGGAGGGGGCGCGAGCUCAGAUCUCCUGGNCUCCCUCAACCCCAGCUCUCCAUUCCCCCCCACCUAUCCAGCCCCGACCUGGCCCUCUCCUGCGCACGCACGCCCAGCCACCCCGCCUACUCGGUCAUGGCCCCCGCUCACUCGAUCACGCCCCCCCCCCCUCCACUGGAUCACAGUCCCCCUUGCUCACACAGGGUCAGCUCCCUGCAAGGUUUAUCCUGGGAUCACCACUCCUCAAUCCUGUGGAAGUAUUCAGGAGGCUGUAACCUUGAACUUUCCCAGCGCCACAUUCUCUUUCCUUGCUGCCCGCCCUCCAGCGCCCCCUCUCCCUUCCUUGUUUAAAAAAGCACUUCACCUUCAACCACCACCCUAAUCCAACCCACGCUGAACCUUCGUGCACCCCCAAGCCCCCAACAACAGCAACAACAACAACUCCAAAACAGAAAACAAAUCCCCAAAACCAGGCAUAAAGCAGCUGACACAGGCGGCAACUGCGUGGCAAGCCUGUCCAGCGCUCCAACUGCAAAAGGGUUAAAAGUGUAGAUUGGAUUUCACCCUGGGAAAUCUAGCAGGCCACGUGAACUUGAAUCUUUCGCUAUUUAAGGAAGACUGGGUUUGUUGUGAAGUCGCUGUGAUCCAGCGCAGAGUCUGGUCCUGAUCCAUCGCAUCAUGGGGCUCAGAUAACUGUGAAAUGAAUAGAUGAAAUUCUUCCUUCUGGAAGAUUUUCUUGGUCAUCUUUGGGAAAGUGCGUUUGAAGGUCUUCUUCCUCACCUGCUUCCUGACAUGGACCUAGCGGGGGCUGGCCCUGGCCAGGGAGGCGGCUCCUGGUGGCAAUUGGUGCUGCCUGCCUGCUGCUACCUGGAGGACUUCUUGGUGUGGCAGUGAUGGUCUUGGCCUGGGAGGACAUGACUGUGUCCCCGCCCACGCCCCCGGAGGUGGCAGCGGCUGGCAGGUUGUUGUUGGUGCUGAGCUUCUUGGGGCUGCUGAAGCUCGAGCACCUUGUAUUUCCAGAGAACAGAUGAUUCUUUGGGAUUGGGACUUGAAGCAGUGGUAUAAACCUCAUUACCAGAAUUCCGGAGGUGGAAAUGGAGUUGAUCUUUCAGUGCUAAAUGAAGCUCUCAAUAUGGUGUCAGAUCUUCUGAGUGACCCAAGCCCUUCCUCCACAAGUCAUUUCUUCCCUAGGAAGUAUGAGUAGCUUGAUGAGUGCAUUCUCUGGAUCUUGUUGGCCAAAGAUUAAUCCUCUCACACCAUUUCCUGGAUUUUACCCCUGGUCUGAAAUAGAGAAUCCAACCGAGAAAGGAGAUUGAAAACUUCACAAGGUUAAAAUACAACUUUAUCCCUAUUGAUAACAUUUAAUGAUAUUUUCAGAUUAAAAUUCCUUCUUUUUUUGGGGGGGGGGGGGUUGAACUCAGGGGCACUCAACCACUGAGCCAUAUCCCAGCCUUAUUUUGUGUUUUAUUUAGAGACAGGGUCUCACUGAGGUGCUCAGUGAGUCUCUAUUGCUGAGAGAGUACCUUUGAACUCCUGAUCCUGCUGUCUCAGCCUCCUGACCCACUGGAAUUAUACAUGCAUGCCAUUGCACCUGGCUAAAACUGCUUUUUUAAAGUUAUAUUACAUACAAUUUUCUUUUGAAGGAUCAACCUCUUUUACGUUUUAUUGACCUUCUUGGGACUUUAUA
rnacentral:lncRNA from 1 species